AAGAGGAAACUUGUUUCCUCGGAUCUUAGUGGCGAACGGGUGAGUAACGCGUAAUCAACCUGCCCUUCAGAGGGGGAUAACAAUCGGAAACGAUUGCUAAUACCGCGUAAGUUCACUGUCCGGCAUCGGAUAGUGAGGAAAGGUGGCCUCUAUUUAUAAGCUAUCGCUGAAGAAGGGGAUUGCGUCUGAUUAGCUAGUUGGAGGGGUAACGGCCCACCAAGGCAAUGAUCAGUAGCCGGUCUGAGAGGAUGAACGGCCACAUUGGGACUGAGACACGGCCCAAACUCCUACGGGAGGCAGCAGUGGGGAAUCUUCCGCAAUGGACGAAAGUCUGACGGAGCAACGCCGCGUGAGUGAUGAAGGUCUUCGGAUUGUAAAGCUCUGUUAAUCGGGACGAAAGGUCCGCUUGUAAAUAAUGAGUGGAGUUGACGGUACCGGAAUAGAAAGCCACGGCUAACUACGUGCCAGCAGCCGCGGUAAUACGUAGGUGGCAAGCGUUGUCCGGAAUUAUUGGGCGUAAAGCGCGCGCAGGCGGAUCGGUAAGUCUGUCUUAAAAGUUCGGGGCUCAACCCCGUGAUGGGAUGGAAACUGCGGAUCUAGAGUAUCGGAGAGGAAAGCGGAAUUCCUAGUGUAGCGGUGAAAUGCGUAGAUAUUAGGAAGAACACCAGUGGCGAAGGCGGCUUUCUGGACGAAAACUGACGCUGAGGCGCGAAAGCCAGGGGAGCGAACGGGAUUAGAUACCCCGGUAGUCCUGGCCGUAAACGAUGGGUACUAGGUGUAGGAGGUAUCGACCCCUUCUGUGCCGGAGUU
rnacentral:rRNA from 1 species